rnacentral:rRNA from 1 species
CAUGCAUGUCGAACGCCCCGCGAGGGGAGUGGCAGACGGGUGAGUAACGCGUGGGAAUCUACCCUUUUCUACGGAACAACUGAGGGAAACUUCAGCUAAUACCGUAUACGGCCGAGAGGCGAAAGAUUUAUCGGAGAAGGAUGAGCCCGCGUUGGAUUAGCUAGUUGGUGGGGUAAAGGCCUACCAAGGCGACGAUCCAUACCUGGUCUGAGAGGAUGAUCAGCCACACUGGGACUGAGACACGGCCCAGACUCCUACGGGAGGCAGCAGUGGGGAAUAUUGGACAAUGGGCGCAAGCCUGAUCCAGCCAUGCCGCGUGAGUGAUGAAGGCCCUAGGGUUGUAAAGCUCUUUCACCGGUGAAGAUAAUGACGGUAACCGGAGAAGAAGCCCCGGCUAACUUCGUGCCAGCAGCCGCGGUAAUACGAAGGGGGCUAGCGUUGUUCGGAUUUACUGGGCGUAAAGCGCACGUAGGCGGACUAUUAAGUCAGGGGUGAAAUCCCGGGGCUCAACCCCGGAGCUGCCUUUGAUACUGGUAGUCUUGAGUUCGAGAGAGGUGAGUGGAAUUCCGAGUGUGAGGGAAAUCGUAGAUUUCAGAGGACACCUUGGCGAAGCGGCUACUGGUCGAUACUGAACUGAGUGCGAAGCGUGGGAGCAACAGGAUAGAUACCCUGGUAGACACCCGUAACUAUGAGACUAUCGUCGGCAGUAACUGUCGGUGGACAGCUACGCAUAAGCUCUCGCCUGGGAGUACGGCGCAGAUACUCUCAAUGAUUGACGGG